rnacentral:rRNA from 1 species
UACGUAGGAGACGAGCGUUGUCCGGAGUUACUGGGCGUAAAGGGUGCGCAGGUGGCGGCGCGCGUGGGGGGUGAAAUCGCCCGGCUUAACUGGGCGGGGGCCUUCCAGACGGCGUGGCUUGAGCAGCGGAGGGGGACGUGGAAUUCCGGGUGGAGCGGUGAAAUGCGUAGAGAUGUGGAGGAACACCGAUGGCGAAGGCAGCCCCCUGGGCUAACACUGACGCUCAUGCACGAAAGCGUGGGGAGCAAACAGG